rnacentral:rRNA from 1 species
AAGACCUUGCACUUUUGGAGCGGCCGAUGUCUGAUUAGCUAGUUGGUGGGGUAAUGGCCUACCAAAGCUUCGAUCAGUAGCUGGUCUGAGAGGACGGCCAGCCACACUGGGACUGAGACACGGCCCAGACUCCUACGGGAGGCAGCAGUGGGGAAUUUUGGACAAUGGGCGCAAGCCUGAUCCAGCCAUGCCGCGUGAGUGAAGAAGGCCUUCGGGUUMUAAAGCUCUUUCAGCCGGGAAGAAAAGGUUGCGACUAAUAAUCGCAAUUCAUGACGGUACCGAAAGAAGAAGCACCGGCUAACUACGUGCCAGCAGCCGCGGUAAUACGUAGGGUGCGAGCGUUAAUCGGAAUUACUGGGCGUAAAGGGUGCGCAGGCGGUUUUGUAAGUCAGAUGUGAAAUCCCCGGGCUUAACCUGGGAACU